rnacentral:rRNA from 1 species
UACGUAGGCAGCGAGCGUUGUUCGGAGUUACUGGGCGUAAAGAGUGCGUAGGCGGUUUUCUAAGUUUGGUGUGAAAUCUCCCGGCUUAACUGGGAGGGUGCGCCGAAGACUGGAAGGCUUGAGUAUGGGAGAGGUAAGCGGAAUUCCUGGUGUAGCGGUGAAAUGCGUAGAUAUCAGGAAGAACACCGGUGGCGAAGGCGGCUCUCUGGGCCUUACCUGACGCUGAGGAGCGAAAGCGUGGGUAGCGAACAGG